GCCCUGCUGGCGCAAUGGUAGCGCGUGGCCCUCCUACAGCGUUGCAAAACGCGUCAGGCCAAGGUUGCAGGUUCGAGUCCUGCGUAGGGCU